GUGGGGAAUCUUCCGCAAUGGACGAAAGUCUGACGGAGCAACGCCGCGUGAGUGAUGACGGCCUUCGGGUUGUAAAACUCUGUUAUACGGGACGAAUGGACGAGAGGCCAAUACCCUUUCGGAGUGACGGUACCGUAAGAGAAAGCCACGGCUAACUACGUGCCAGCAGCCGCGGUAAUACGUAGGUGGCAAGCGUUGUCCGGAAUUAUUGGGCGUAAAGGGCGCGCAGGUGGUUUCUUAAGUCUGUCUUAAAAGUGCGGGGCUUAACCCCGUGAGGGGACGGAAACUGGGAGACUAGAGUAUCGGAGAGGAAAGCGGAAUUCCUAGUGUAGCGGUGAAAUGCGUAGAUAUUAGGAGGAACACCAGUGGCGAAAGCGGCUUUCUGGACGACAACUGACACUGAGGCGCGAAAGCCAGGGGAGCAAACGGGAUUAGAAACCCCAGUAGUCC
rnacentral:rRNA from 1 species